rnacentral:rRNA from 17 species
CUGCCCGGUGCUGGAAGGUUAAGAGGAGAGGUUAGCGCAAGCGAAGCUUUGAAUUUAAGCCCCAGUAAACGGCGGCCGUAACAAUAACGGUCCUAAGGUAGCGAAAUUCCUUGUCAGGUAAGUUCUGACCCGCACGAAUGGCGUAAUGACUUGGGCACUGUCUCAACUGCAAAUCCGGCGAAGUUGUAGUGCGAGUGAAGAUGCUCGCUACCCGCGAUUGGACGGAAAGACCCCGUAGAGCUUUACUGUAGCUUAGCAUUGAAUUCCGGUAUUGUCUGUACAGGAUAGGUGGGAGACUGGGAAACUAGGGCGUCAGCCUUAGUGGAGUCGUCCUUGGGAUACCACCCUGACAGUACUGGGGUUCUAACAGGACGCCAUGAAUCUGGUGACUGGACAUUGUUAGGUGGGCAGUUUGACUGGGGCGGUCGCCUCCCAAAGAGUAACGGAGGCGCCCAAAGGUACGCUCAGAUUGGAUGGAAACCAAUCAUUGAGUGCAAUUGCAGAAGCGUGCUUGACUGUGAGACAAACAAGUCGAACAGGGACGAAAGUCGGGAAUAGUGAUCCGGCGGUGCCGAAUGGAAGGGCCGUCGCUCAACGGAUAAAAGCUACCCUGGGGAUAACAG